CCUACGGGUGGCAGCAGUGGGGAAUAUUGCACAAUGGGGGAAACCCUGAUGCAGCGACGCCGCGUGGGUGACGAAGUACUUCGGUAUGUAAAGUCCUAUUAGUAGGGAAGAAGAUGACAGUACCUGACUAAGAAGCCACGGCUAACUACGUGCCAGCAGCCGCGGUAAUACGUAGGGGGCAAGCGUUAUCCGGAUUUACUGGGUGUAAAGGGAGCGUAGGUGGCAUGGCAAGCCAGAAGUGAAAACCCGGGGCACAACCCCGCGGAUUGCUUUUGAAACUGUCAAGCUGGAGUGCGGGAGGGGCAGGCGGAAUUCCUGGUGUAGCGGUGAAAUGCGUAGAUAUCAGGAGGAACACCAGUGGCGAAGGCGGCCUACUGGACUGUAACUGACACUGAGGCUCGAAAGCGUGGGGAGCAAACAGGAUUAGAUACCCCUGUAGUC
rnacentral:rRNA from 1 species